GUCUACGGCCAUACCACCCUGAACACUCCGGAUCUCGAAAGCUAAGCAGGGUCGGGCCUGGUUAGUACUUGAAUGGGAGAACCUGGGACUUCGGAGCCUCAGGCA
rnacentral:rRNA from 1 species